rnacentral:rRNA from 1 species
GAUGAACGCUGGCGGCGUGCCUAAUACAUGCAAGUCGAGCGAACAGACGAGGAGCUUGCUCCUUUGACGUUAGCGGCGGACGGGUGAGUAACACGUGGGUAACCUACCUAUAAGACUGGGAUAACUUCGGGAAACCGGAGCUAAUACCGGAUAAUAUUUCGAACCGCAUGGUUCGAUAGUGAAAGAUGGCUUUGCUAUCACUUAUAGAUGGACCUGCGCCGUAUUAGCUAGUUGGUAAGGUAACGGCUUACCAAGGCAACGAUACGUAGCCGACCUGAGAGGGUGAUCGGCCACACUGGAACUGAGACACGGUCCAGACUCCUACGGGAGGCAGCAGUAGGGAAUCUUCCGCAAUGGGCGAAAGCCUGACGAAGCAACGUCGCGUGAGUGAUGAAGGUCUUCGGAUCGUAAAACUCUGUUAUUAGGGAAAAACAAACGUGUAAGUAACUGUGCACGUCUUGACGGUACCUAAUCAGAAAGCCACGGCUAUCUACGUGCCAGCAGCCGCGGUAAUACGUAGGUGGCAAGCGUUAUCCGGAAUUAUUGGGCGUAAAGCGCGCGUAGGCGGUUUUUUAGUCUGAUGUGAAAGCCCACGGCUCAACCGUGGAGGGUCAUUGGAAACUGGAAAACUUGAGUGCAGAAGAGGAAAGUGGAAUUCCAUGUGUAGCGGUGAAAUGCGCAGAGAUAUGGAGGAACACCAGUGGCGAAGGCGACUUUCUGGUCUGUAACUGACGCUGAUGUGCGAAAGCGUGGGGAUCAAACAGGAUUAGAUACCCUGGUAGUCCACGCCGUAAACGAUGAGUGCUAAGUGUUAGGGGGUUUCCGCCCCUUAGUGCUGCAGCUAACGCAUUAAGCACUCCGCCUGGGGAGUACGACCGCAAGGUUGAAACUCAAAGGAAUUGACGGGGACCCGCACAAGCGGUGGAGCAUGUGGUUUAAUUCGAAGCAACGCGAAGAACCUUACCAAAUCUUGACAUCCUUUGACCCUUCUAGAGAUAGAAGUUUCCCCUUCGGGGGACAAAGUGACAGGUGGUGCAUGGUUGUCGUCAGCUCGUGUCGUGAGAUGUUGGGUUAAGUCCCGCAACGAGCGCAACCCUUAAGCUUAGUUGCCAUCAUUAAGUUGGGCACUCUAAGUUGACUGCCGGUGACAAACCGGAGGAAGGUGGGGAUGACGUCAAAUCAUCAUGCCCCUUAUGAUUUGGGCUACACACGUGCUACAAUGGACAAUACAAAGGGCAGCGAAACCGCGAGGUCAAGCAAAUCCCAUAAAGUUGUUCUCAGUUCGGAUUGUAGUCUGCAACUCGACUACAUGAAGCUGGAAUCGCUAGUAAUCGUAGAUCAGCAUGCUACGGUGAAUACGUUCCCGGGUCU